rnacentral:rRNA from 1 species
GAUGAACGCUGGCGGCGUGCUUAACACAUGCAAGUCGAACGAGAAAUAUUUUAUUGAAACUUCGGUCGAUUUAAUUUAUUUCUAGUGGCGGACGGGUGAGUAACGCGUGGGUAACCUGCCUUAUACUGGGGGAUAACAGCCAGAAAUGACUGCUAAUACCGCAUAAGCGCACAGAACCGCAUGGUUCGGUGUGAAAAACUCCGGUGGUAUAAGAUGGACCCGCGUUGGAUUAGCUGGUUGGCAGGGCAGCGGCCUACCAAGGCGACGAUCCAUAGCCGGCCUGAGAGGGUGAACGGCCACAUUGGGACUGAGACACGGCCCAGACUCCUACGGGAGGCAGCAGUGGGGAAUAUUGCACAAUGGGGGAAACCCUGAUGCAGCGACGCCGCGUGAAGGAAGAAGUAUCUCGGUAUGUAAACUUCUAUCAGCAGGGAAGAUAAUGACGGUACCUGACUAAGAAGCCCCGGCUAACUACGUGCCAGCAGCCGCGGUAAUACGUAGGGGGCAAGCGUUAUCCGGAUUUACUGGGUGUAAAGGGAGCGUAGACGGCGCAGCAAGUCUGAUGUGAAAGGCAGGGGCUUAACCCCUGGACUGCAUUGGAAACUGCUGUGCUUGAGUGCCGGAGGGGUAAGCGGAAUUCCUAGUGUAGCGGUGAAAUGCGUAGAUAUUAGGAGGAACACCAGUGGCGAAGGCGGCUUACUGGACGGUAACUGACGUUGAGGCUCGAAAGCGUGGGGAGCAAACAGG